ACUAGGGUAACUAUUAUAGUAAUUGUGACUAUGUUUGUUCAUUGUGUCAGGAGAGCUGUUUGUUUAUUUGAUGUCAUCAUUUCAAGUUUGAUUGCAUGCAUAUAGAACAAUAUGUUGUUAGAUCAGCUCUGUGUAGCGGAGGAUAUAAAGUGCCCUCACGCAUGGGAUUUAUUGCGAGGUAGGAAAUGCGAGAAGAAAGGCGGGGUAAACAGUUACUUUAUUGUGUUGUGUUUCAGAACCCCACCCGUGUUAAUGGUGAUUGGCCUGGUGACACAGUCGGCAGAUUUUAACUGAUAUGCUACUUGUGUGAAUUACAUUCAAAAGGUUCUCUAAGAAGAAACUCUGGGUUGGGUUUUAAUUCCUUUCGGUUAGGUCCAGUUAUGUAAGGGCAGCCGCUCGUCUCCUCCGUGGGUGUGACUGGCACUGGUGAGGUGGUGGGAACCCAACGGUUUGUGGUGAUUUGUGUAUAUUUUUGGAGUGCUGUGGUUGCUGUAGUGUGAUUACUGCAUCCAAAAUGGUGAAAAGCCUUGGAGUAACGAU